UACAGAGGGGGCAAGCGUUGUUCGGAAUUACUGGGCGUAAAGGGCGCGUAGGCGGCCGCCUAAGUCAGACGUGAAAUCCCUCGGCUCAACCGGGGAACUGCGUCUGAUACUGGGUGGCUUGAAUUCGGGAGAGGGAUGCGGAAUUCCAGGUGUAGCGGUGAAAUGCGUAGAUAUCUGGAGGAACACCGGUGGCGAAGGCGGCAGUCCUGGACCGAGAUUGACGCUGAGGCAGAA
rnacentral:rRNA from 1 species